CUGGGAUGUUACUGGUGUGUCACUGGUGGCCCCCCAAGGCCCAGUGCCCCAGGCUGGAGGCACGGAAGCGGUGUGACUGGAAUGUUACUGCCGCGGUGACGUCAUUGAAAGCGCGACGGCGCCGCAGAGGACGGGCGUUCGGAGAGGCGCAAAGCACGACGGGAGCUGAAGGCGAAGGGCGCGCAGUGAGCGGCGGCGCGCAAAGGCUGAUGGGAAAUUUAGUCCGGAACCGCCAAGGACUGACCCGACCCGAAACACCACAGAAACGACCCAAAAUCCCCCCCAAAUCGCCCUGAAAUGCCCCAAACUGGAGCCCAGCCGGCACGGAACGGCCAAGAAGCACCAAAUAGCCACCAAAGGAACACAGAAAAGGGGAUUUGGGGUCCACGGGUCCGAUCAUCGGUGUCUUGAGAAUUAAGUAAUUUUCCAAGCACACAAGGACCCAAUGUAAAAAUCAACAGCAACAUUAUCAAAGGACCUCGUAAGGUGGACAAUAACGUGGUUAACCAAGGAGAUUGAUUAAACCAUGUUUCAUACCA